GACGGAGGAUGCAAGUGUUAUCCGGAAUCACUGGGCGUAAAAGCGUCUGUAGGUGGUUUAAAAAGUCUACUGUUAAAAAUUGAAGCUUAACUUCAAAGAUGCCGUAGAAACUUUUAAACUCGAGGAUGGUAGGGGUAGAGGGAAUUUCCAGUGGAGCGGUGAAAUGCGUAGAGAUCGGAAAGAACACCAACGGCGAAAGCACUCUGCUGGGCCGACACUGACACUGAGAGACGAAAGCUAGGGGAGCGAAUGGG
rnacentral:rRNA from 1 species